UACGUAGGGGGCAAGCGUUAUCCGGAUUUACUGGGUGUAAAGGGAGCGCAGACGGCAUGGCAAGUCUGAUGUGAAAACCUGGGGCUUAACCGCAGGACUGCAUUGGAAACUGUCAAGCCGGAGUGCAGGAGGGGUAAGCGGAACUCCUAGUGUAGCGGUGAAAUGCGUAGAUAUUAGGAGGAACACCGGUGGCGAAGGCGGCUUACUGGACUGUAACUGACGUUGAGGCUCGAAAGCGUGGGGAGCAAAC
rnacentral:rRNA from 1 species